rnacentral:rRNA from 1 species
GGACUACUGGGGUAUCUAAUCCUGUUUGCUCCCCACGCUUUCGAGCCUCAGCGUCAGAAAUGUUCCAGAGCGCCGCCUUCGCCACCGGCCUUCCUCCCGAUCUCUACGCAUUUCACCGCUACACCGGGAAUUCCGCGCUCCUCUCCCAUCCUCUAGCUGAACAGUCCCCUCUGCACUUUCCAGGUUAAGCCUGGAGAUUUCACGGAGGGCUUAUCCAACCGCCUACGCUCCCUGUACGCCCAGUAAAUCCGAACAACGCUUGCCACCUUCGUAUUACCGCGGCGGCUGGCAC